rnacentral:tRNA from 1 species
GGGCCCAUAGCUCAGCCUGGUAUGAGCGCCGCGUUACCCAUACCCUACUAACGAGAGUAUGAGAGCGAAGGCAAGCAAAUCCCAAAAUCGCGGAGGCCGCGAGUUCAAAUCUCGCUGGGUCCACCA